rnacentral:piRNA from 1 species
UCCAGAGCAAAGUCUGAGAGGUUGUGUGC